rnacentral:rRNA from 1 species
GACGAACGCUGGCGGCGUGCUUAACACAUGCAAGUCGAACGCUGAAGCUCAGCUUUUGUUGGGUGGAUGAGUGGCGAACGGGUGAGUAACACGUGAGUAACCUGCCCCCUUCUUUGGGAUAACGCCCGGAAACGGGUGCUAAUACUGGAUAUUCACUGGUCUUCGCAUGGGGGUUGGUGGAAAGGGUUUUUCUGGUGGGGGAUGGGCUCGCGGCCUACCAGCUUGUUGGUGGGGUGAUGGCCUACCAAGGCUUUGACGGGUAGCCGGCCUGAGAGGGUGACCGGUAACAUUGGGACUGAGAUACGGCCCAGACUCCUACGGGAGGCAGCAGUGGGGAAUAUUGCACAAUGGGCGCAAGCCUGAUGCAGCGACGCCGCGUGAGGGAUGGAGGCCUUCGGGUUGUGAACCUCUUUCGCUCAUGGUCAAGCCGCAACAAUGGUUGUGGUGAGGGUAGUGGGUAAAGAAGCGCCGGCUAACUACGUG